GUCCACGCCGUAAACGAUGAGUGCUAGACGUUGGGAGGCCUAGCCUUCCGGUGUCGCAGCUAACGCAUUAAGCACUCCGCCUGGGGAGUACGGCCGCAAGGUUAAAACUCAAAGGAAUUGACGGGGCCCGCACAAGCGGUGGAGCAUGUGGUUUAAUUCGAAGCAACGCGCAGAACCUUACCAGCCCUUGACAUGGGAGGUGUGAGCCUGGGAGACCGGGUUCUUCAGUUCGGCUGGCUCCCGCACAGGUGCUGCAUGGCUGUCGU
rnacentral:rRNA from 1 species